rnacentral:rRNA from 1 species
GAUGAACGCUGGCGGCGUGCCUAAUACAUGCAAGUCGAGCGAACAGACGAGGAGCUUGCUCCUCUGACGUUAGCGGCGGACGGGUGAGUAACACGUGGAUAACCUACCUAUAAGACUGGGAUAACUUCGGGAAACCGGAGCUAAUACCGGAUAAUAUAUUGAACCGCAUGGUUCAAUAGUGAAAGACGGUUUUGCUGUCACUUAUAGAUGGAUCCGCGCCGCAUUAGCUAGUUGGUAAGGUAACGGCUUACCAAGGCAACGAUGCGUAGCCGACCUGAGAGGGUGAUCCGCCACACUGGAACUGAGACACGGUCCAGACUCCUACGGGAGGCAGCAGUAGGGAAUCUUCCGCAAUGGGCGAAAGCUUGACGGAGCAACGCCGCGUGCGUGAUGAAGGUCUUCGGAUCGUAAAACUCUGUUAUUAGGGAAGAACAAAUGUGUAAGUAACUAUGCACGUCUUGACGGUACCUAAUCAGAAAGCCACGGCUAACUACGUG